CAGCCCUGCAAUUAGGGGGAUUUGCCACUCCUCUGGACGCAAUCACUCACCCUCUCGUUGCUGAAAGGGUAGAUCACGUCGUCGAUGUUAUCAAAUCCUUCCCUCCCAAUGGGUUCGGAGAUGCGACAGUUACUCUCAAGGAUCCUACAGGCACUGUUGGUGCUAGUAUCCAUCGCAAGGUCUUCACUGAAAGUGAAUUUGCGAAGGACAUAACUGUUGGAUAUGUUAUGCUUCUCCCAAGGGUUGUUGUGUUUUAUCCUGCAAACUUUACUUGUUAUCUGAAUAUAACAUUGCUCGACAUAGUCAAGGUAUUUUCAAAGGACUGUGGACCUCCAUCAGAACAAGUGUUGCCUGCAAGAUCAGGGAGAUCACAGAAGAU